UCUCCAGACUCCUACGGGAGGCAGCAGUAGGGAAUUUUCGUCAAUGGGCGCAAGCCUGAACGAGCAAUGCCGCGUGAGUGAGGAAGGUCUUCGGAUCGUAAAGCUCUGUUGCAGGUCAGAAAAGAAGGAAAGAGGAAAUGCUUUUCUUUUGAUAGUAACCUGCCAGAAAGUCACGGCUAACUACGUGCCAGCAGCCGCGGUAAUACGGAGGAUGCGAGCGUUAUCCGGAUUUAUUGGGUUUAAAGGGUGCGCAGGCGGCACGGCAAGCCGGCGGUCAAAUCGCGGGGCUCAACCCCGCCCAGCCGUCGGAACUGCCGGGCUAGAGUGGGCGAGAAGUGCGCGGAAUGCGUGGUGUAGCGGUGAAAUGCAUAGAUAUCACGCAGAACUCCGAUUGCGAAGGCAGCGCACCGGCGCCCUACUGACGCUCAGGCACGAAAGCGUGGGGAUCGAACAGGAUUAGAUACCCUUGUAG
rnacentral:rRNA from 1 species